rnacentral:lncRNA from 1 species
CCUGUUCCUACUGGAGUAACUCCUCCUGUGGUUGUAUACAGCCUGUUAUGAAAUGGUGAAAAUCCUUGGUCUGCUUUGGCUUUGCUGGAAGAGGGUUGGACAGGAUGUUGACAUGUUGCUUGACCAUACAAAUGUAGUGUAAUGUCAAUGAAUUCCACAAAAGUCCCUGUACUUCAAACAUAUUCUAACAUGUCUAAGACAAGAUAUUAUAAAAACCAUAGGAAAAUAAACCACUCCUCUUUUUAUGUAAAAUAAAAAGUCUGGCUG